CCUACGGGAGGCAGCAGUGGGGAAUCUUGCGCAAUGGGCGAAAGCCUGACGCAGCCAUGCCGCGUGAAUGAUGAAGGUCUUAGGAUUGUAAAAUUCUUUCACCGAGGACGAUAAUGACGGUACUCGGAGAAGAAGCCCCGGCUAACUUCGUGCCAGCAGCCGCGGUAAUACGAAGGGGGCUAGCGUUGCUCGGAAUUACUGGGCGUAAAGGGAGCGUAGGCGGAUAGUUUAGUCAGAGGUGAAAGCCCAGGGCUCAACCUUGGAAUUGCCUUUGAUACUGGCUAUCUUGAGUACGGAAGAGGUAUGUGGAACUCCGAGUGUAGAGGUGAAAUUCGUAGAUAUUCGGAAGAACACCAGUGGCGAAGGCGACAUACUGGUCCGUUACUGACGCUGAGGCUCGAAAGCGUGGGGAGCAAACAGGAUUAGAUACCCUGGUAGUCCACGCUGUAAACGAUGAGUGCUAGUUGUCGGCAUGCAUGCAUGUCGGUGACGCAGCUACGCAUAAGACACUCCGCCGUGGGAGGUACGGUCGCGAAGAAGUUAAAACUUAAAGUUAGUAAGUUAGACGGCGUGAGACGUGCCGAACGGACGACGACGAGGGAGGUUAGG
rnacentral:rRNA from 1 species